AUUGAACGCUGGCGGCAGGCCUAACACAUGCAAGUCGAACGAGUGGCGGACGGGUGAGUAAUGUAUGGGAAACUGCCCGAUGGAGGGGGAUAACUACUGGAAACGGUAGCUAAUACCGCAUACUAUCAGAUGUGCCCAGAUGGGAUUAGCUAGUUGGUGGGGUAAAGGCUCACCUAGGCGACGAUCUCUAGCUGGUCUGAGAGGAUGACCAGCCACACUGGGACUGAGACACGGCCCAGACUCCUACGGGAGGCAGCAGUGGGGAAUAUUGCACAAUGGGCGCAAGCCUGAUGCAGCCAUGCCGCGUGUAUGAAGAAGGCCUUCGGGUUGUAAAGUACUUUCAGCGGGGAGGCGUUACCCGCAGAAGAAGCACCGGCUAACUCCGUGCCAGCAGCCGCGGUAAUAC
rnacentral:rRNA from 1 species